rnacentral:rRNA from 1 species
UGAGGAAUAUUGGUCAAUGGGNGCGAGCCUGAACCAGCCAAGUCGCGUGAGGGAAGACGGUCCUAAGGAUUGUAAACCUCUUUUGUCAGGGAGCAAGGAGCGCCACGUGUGGCGCGGCGAGAGUACCUGAAGAAAAAGCAUCGGCUAACUCCGUGCC